UCUUUGCAGUAACAUAGAAAAAAUGUGGCUCUUAACCUCUGACUGGUUGGCCACCCCUGCUAUAUUGCAUACACAAACAACUACACAAAUUUUAGCUCAGAUAACUGGUCACAACAUAUGAAAUAUGAAUAUGCAAACACAAUAUACGUCAUUGCAUUGAACUGAGAUAUGAAUACUUAAAAUAAAUGGCAACAUUCAUACUGUAGAUGCUAGAACACAUGUAUGAAAUUAAACGUGCUCAAUCUCUAUAACUCGCUGCAUCUAAUCACAAGAAUGCACUCAAAGUAAAGAACUAUAAUGUCACAACAUAACAACUUACACGUAAGGCCUUCUCAAGGGCUACGAACGAAGGAUGGCACAGGAUGAACAGACAUCAGCUUCACUGGAGCACACCACUUCAGAAUUACCAACUACUAACUAUAACUAAUAACUAACUUCCUGUCACAUGGAACUAGAAUUAAAUACUAAGCCAGAAUAAUAACCAUUUGUAAAAGCUGCAGAUAUACGAUGGCUAUCAGUGGUGUUCAGGAUGACCAGGUGCCUGCACACUGUCACAUGUGUAGAGGUGUGUGUUUGCAGACUCAGCGAGGGAGGCCCUGGCAGAGCAAGGCGUGGCAGAGGUGCUGACCUUCCAGCUGAAACGGGCGCCUGACGCUGAGCGCCGACAUGUCAUCCUGGAAAUACUGGGGGCUCUGGGCGAGAGUGAUACACUGAAGCUGCAGUUUGCAGAGUCAGGAGUACCAGAGGCCUUAUCGGAGAUGAUUCGGAGUCUGCAGGGAGGAUCUGACCCUCACGACCUCUGCAGCAUCAAGAUCGCCUCCAACCUCAUUGUGUCUCUGCUGUUAGGAGAUGAGUCCAUGCAGAAGUGUUUUGGGGAGGGCUCUGGUGUGGUGUAUCAGGAUGUUCUGUCCUGGCUGCAGAGCUCCAACACACAGCUGCAACUGUCCGGAGCCCUGGCCAUCGCCAACUUUGCCAGA